rnacentral:rRNA from 1 species
UUGAGUAUAGUUGAGGUAGCUGGAAUGAGUAGUGUAGCGGUGAAAUGCAUAGAUAUUACUCAGAACACCGAUUGCGAAGGCAGGUUACCAAGUUAUAACUGACGCUGAGGGACGAAAGCGUGGGGAGCGAACAGGAUUAGAUACCCUGGUAGUCCACGCCGUAAACGAUGCUAACUCGUUUUUGGGCUCUAGGGUUCAGAGACUAAGCGAAAGUGAUAAGUUAGCCACCUGGGGAGUACGACCGCAAGGUUGAAACUCAAAGGAAUUGACGGGGGCCCGCACAAGCGGUGGAUCAUGUGGUUUAAUUCGAUGAUACGCGAGGAACCUUACCAAGGCUUAAAUGGGAAUUGACAGCUGUAGAAAUACGGUUUUCUUCGGACAAUUUUCAAGGUGCUGCAUGGUUGUCGUCAGCUCGUGCCGUGAGGUGUUAGGUUAAGUCCUGCAACGAGCGCAACCCCUGUCACUAGUUGCCAUCAUUAAGUUGGGGACUCUAGUGAGACUGCCUACGCAAGUAGAGAGGAAGGUGGGGAUGACGUCAAAUCAUCACGGCCCUUACGCCUUGGGCCACACACGUGAUACAAUGCCGUACAGA